rnacentral:rRNA from 1 species
AAGGGGGAGGGAAAAGAAACUAACAAGGAUUCCCCCUAGUAACGGCGAGUGAAGAGGGAAAAGCUCAAAUUUAAAAUCUGGCGGUCUACGGCCGUCCGAGUUGUAAUCUAGAGAAGUGUUUUCCGCGCUGGACCGUGUACAAGUCCUUUGGAACAAGGCGUCAUAGAGGGUGAGAAUCCCGUCUACGACACGGACUGCCAAGCGCUUUGUGAUACACUCUCAACGAGUCGAGUUGUUUGGGAAUGCAGCUCAAAAUGGGUGGUAAAUUCCAUCUAAAGCUAAAUAUUGGCGAAAGACCGAUAGCGAACAAGUACCGUGAGGGAAAGAUGAAAAGCACUUUGGAAAGAGAGUUAAACAGUACGUGAAAUUGUUGAAAGGGAAACGCUUGAAGUCAGUCGCGUCUUCAGAAAUUCAGCUGGGCUUCUGCCUAGUGUACUUUUCUGUGGGACGGGCCAGCAUCAGUUUUGGCUGCCAGAAAAAGGUCGGAGGAAGGUGGCACCUCCGGGUGUGUUAUAGCCUCUGAUCGUAUGUGGCAGCCGGGAUUGAGGACCGCAGCACGCCUUUAUGGCCGGGGUUCGCCCACGUAACGUGCUUAGGAUGCUGGCGUAAUGGCUUUAAACGACCCGUCUUGAAACACGGACCAAGGAGUCUAACAUGCCUGCGAGUAUUUGGGUGGCAAACCCAUAUGCGGAAUGAAAGUGAACAGUUGGGACUUCUGUCAUGGAAGGCACCGACGCCCGGACCAGACCUAUUGUGACGGAUCCGAGGUAGAGCAUGUAUGUUGGGACCCGAAAGAUGGUGAACUAUGCCUGAGUAGGGUGAAGCCAGAGGAAACUCUGGUGGAGGCUCGUAGCGAUUCUGACGUGCAAAUCGAUCGUCGAACUUGGGUAU